UACGUAGGGUGCGAGCGUUAAUCGGAAUUACUGGGCGUAAAGCGUGCGCAGGCGGUUCGUCGUGUCCGAUGUGAAAGCCCCGGGCUCAACCUGGGAAUGGCAUUGGAAACUGGCGGACUCGAGUGUGGCAGAGGGGGGUGGAAUUCCGCGUGUAGCAGUGAAAUGCGUAGAGAUGCGGAGGAACACCCGUGGCGAAGGCGGCCCUCUGGCUCGACCCUGACGCUGAGGCGCGAAAGCGUGGGGAGCGAACGGG
rnacentral:rRNA from 1 species